rnacentral:sRNA from 12 species
UCUAGUUACUAUGGGGUAAUCAGCAUUACAUAUAUCAGAACCACUACUGAUUAAGCACUAGAAACUUUCAUAGAAGUUAUAUGUGUCAGAUAUAAUAUUAGUUGAAUAUAUAUGGGCGAUACUGUUGACAUCGGGAUGUCGUAAAACAAACGUACUGUAUUGAAUAUAUGGGCUAUAUACUGAUUGCAAGAGUUUAAGAUAAAAAAAUUGUGGGAAUUUACUAAUCAAACUGGCACUUUGGUUAGUAUUUU